UAGCAUUGUCAGUAUUUUUGCUUCCCGACUCCCACCCCUUUGUAAAACCUGUGCUGCUUUCACGGACGGUGUCACGGGGAUGUCCUCUGACGUCUUGGAUGCUUACGGCCCCAUCAUCAAACCCAGGUUCAUGAGUGGAUGGCUGCAGGAACUCAAUCAGCGAGCUAAGCAUCAGCUGAUCUGAGAGCAGAUUGUGCAGGUUUUUGGCUGAACGUGAGUGACUUUUGGAGGACUGGGACAAGAGGCAUUUUAGUCCCUGAAAUGUCUCUCAAACGAGGAGAGGGGAUGUCAAUCGCCCAGGCUUUAGCCAUGACUGUAGCAGAGAUACCGGUCUUUCUCUACUCCACAUUUGGGCAGUCAAUAUUUUCCCAGCUGAAGCUUUCCCCAAGCCUGAAGAAGGUCCUGUUUGCCACGGCACUAGGAAGCGUGGCUCUGGCUCUCACUGCUCAUCAGCUGAAAAGGCGAGGGAGAAAAAGAAAACAGGCGAUACAAGCAAAGGAUGGCCAUAAAAUCGUGGGCAUACCCGAGGCUCUGUUGAAAACAGGAAGACCGUCAUCAUUAAAGAGAGUUCCACUUACCAGUCGACAGAUGAUGAGCCCCAGCUCUCGGAGCAAUGACACCAUGAGUGGAAUCUCCUCCUUGGCUCCCAGUAAACACUCGAGUUCCUCCCACAGCUUGGCGUCUACACGAGUCCCAAACUCCCCAAAUCAGUCUGCUAAUCCCCCCACCCCUUGGGAGGCAGAGCCUGUGGUUGAGGAAGCGGGGGCAGUAGAGGAUGUCAAUGCAGAGAACCUCUAUUUGAUGGGGAUGGAGUUAUUUGAGGAAGCUCUACAGAAGUGGGAACAAGCCCUAAACAUUCGUCAUCAAAGCCAGUCGGCCUCCUGUAACAACAGCCUCGCCCUUCAGGCUGCAGCGUGUGAAGAUGUUCCCACGGCUGAAGCCCAAAAUAAAGCCUUUUCUGAGAAGUUAGAGACAUUAUUGCACAGAGCAUACCACCUACAGGAGGAUUUUGGCAGCAGUAUCCCAACAGAGAGUGUGCUGGCAGACUUUGCAGAGAGUGAAGGAACUCUUCUGUUGCCUCAAGUAGAAAGUUUCCAUCGACCACGAGACGACGACGCGACUACCAUUUCCUCGGAGGAUUCCUUUUUCUCAGCUGCAGAACUGUUAGAUAACAUGACUCUAGACGAGAUCUAUCCACCGAUGAAGCCUGCAGCUCUUUACGAAGAGGCCCUGUUUCUGGUCCGGGAAGGCAAAGUCAAAUUUAGAUCGCUGAGGACGGAAUUACUUGAAUGUUACGGAGACCAAGAUUUCCUAGCCAAGCUCCACUGUGUGAGGCAAGCAUUCCAGAUGCUAUUGUUGGAUGAAACUCAUCGCACUUUUUUUAUGGAAACCGGGAAACAGAUGAUAGCCGGGCUGGUGGUAAAGGCAAACAAGAGUCCCAAAGCUUUUCUAGAGAGCUAUGAAGACAUGCUGCUUUACACCCAGAGGGAGGAAACGUGGCCCGUCACUCAGAUGGAGCUGGAGGCUCGAGGGGUGGUGUGUAUGAACUUUUUCGACAUUGUGUUGGACUUCAUCCUAAUGGAUGCCUUUGAAGACCUGGAGAGUCCUCCCUCAUCCGUGAUAGCUGUGCUUAGGAACCGCUGGCUCUCCGACAGCUUUAAAGAGACGGCCCUGGCGACGGCUUGCUGGUCUGUGUUAAAAGCAAAACGGCGUCUUCUCCUGGUUCCCGAUGGGUUCAUCUCCCACUUCUAUGCCAUAUCAGAACACGUGAGCCCGGUUUUAGCUUUUGGGUUUUUGGGACCCAGGCAACACCUGAGUGAAGUUUGCACAAUUUUCAAGCAACAAAUCGUGCAAUACCUUAAGGACAUGUUUGAUCACGACAAGGUGCGCUUCUCCACUGCUCAGUGCUUGGCCGAGGACGUUCUGAAACUUUCCCACCGCAGAGGUGACAUUAUACUGGGGUAUCUGGGAAUCAAUAGUCUACUGGAACUGAAUGGAUCCCUGCCCAGAGAUGCUCAAGAGCCCUGAGGGACCAACUAGGAGCGUUGAAGGACGAGGAACUCGACACUAGACAACCAGCAUUCUUCAAGUCUUCAUCAAGUCACUGGAUUUGUUUCAUCCCAUCGGCUUGUGUUGGUGCAGGAUGCUGCUGGGAUCCUCUUCUCCCUUGUGUUGCUGCUUUGUUACAUAUCCAGAAUGCCAACUGUAAUCACAGACACGUGAGGACUUGUCCCUGCCUCGUCGGGCAACUGGUUACUCGUUAAAACACAGCUGACAAACACUUCCAGCCAAUGAGGGCCGUGCCUUCUACACAAGAUUAUCUGGAGUUGAGUCGAGGGGGCAGUAGCCUAAGCUGAGAGGCCCACGCUUGCCUCUCCCCAGCCAUUUGGGCCAGAACCUCUGGGGGGAUCCUGAGACAUUCCCUGGCCAGCCGAGAGAAUAACGUACCUCCAGUGUGUCCUGGGUCUUCCUUUAGGUCUCCUCCUGUUGGACGUGCCCAGAAAACCUCACUAGGAAUGCGUCCAGGAAGCAUCCUGACCAGAUGCCCGAGCCACCUCAACUGGCUCCUCUCGAUGUGGAGGAGCAGCGGAUCUACUCUGAGCCCCUCCCGGAUGACUGAGCUUCUCACCCUAUCUCAAAGGGAGAGUCUAGACACUCUGUGGAGAAAACUCAUUUCGGCCGCUUGUACCCGGGAUCUCGUUCUUUCGGUCACUACCCAAAGCUCAUGACCAUAGGUGAGGGUAGGAACGUAGAUUGACCAGUAAAUUAAGCUCUCUUUUCACCACGACAGAUCGGUACAACACCCGCAUCACAGCAGAUGCAGUACCAAUCCGCCUAUCGAUCUCACGCUCCAGCUUUCCCUCACUCGUGAACAAGACCCCGAGAUACUUAAACUCCUCCACUUGGGGCAGGACCUCAUCCCUGACCCGGAGAAGGCUUUCUACCCUUUUCCGAAUCAAGACCAUGGUCUCAGAUUUAGAGGAGCUGAUUCUCAAUCCCAGCCGCUUCACACUCGGCUGUGAACCGCUCCAGUGAGAGCUGGAGAUCACGUUCUGAUGAAGCCAACAGGAUCACAUCAUUUGCAAAAGAAACCUGAUCCUCAGGCCACCAAAACGGAUGCCCUCCACACCUUGGCUGCACCUAUAAAUCCUGUCCAUAAAAGUUAUGAACAGAAUCGGUGACAAAUGGCAGCCUUGGCGGAGUCCAACUCUCACUGGGAACGAGCCUGACUUACUGCCGGCAAUGCGGACCAAGCUCUGGCACCGGUCAUACAGUUUUUUGACAACCUCAGUGACCUCAGCACCAGAGAUUUGAGAGCCCAACUCAAAGUCCCCAGACUCUGCUUCCUCAUUGGAAGAUGUGCCGGUCGGAUUGAGGAGGUCUUCGAAGUAUUCUUCCCACAGAUCCACAACGUCCCGAUUAGAGUUCAGCAGCACACCGUCGCCACUAUAGAUAGUGUUGGUAGCGCACUGCUUUCCCCUCCUGAGGCACUGGCUGAUGGACCAGAAUCUCCUCGAAGCCGUACAGAAGUCUUGCUCUAUGGUCUCACCAAACUCCUCCCAUGCCUGGGUUUUUG